rnacentral:rRNA from 1 species
CAAUAGCGUAUAUUAAAGUUGUUGCAGUUAAAAAGCUCGUAGUUGGACCUUGGACCUGGACAGGCGGUCCGCCUCACGGCGUGUACUGUCUUGCUGGGUCUUUCCUCUUGGUGAUCUGUUGUUUCGGCAGCAGGGAACCAGGACUUUUACUUUGAAAAAAUUAGAGUGUUCAAAGCAGGCUCGACGCCGGAAUAUAUUAGCAUGGAAUAAUAAAAUAGGACGUGCGGUUCUAUUUUGUUGGUUUUUGGAAUCGCCGUAAUGAUUAAUAGGGACGGUCGGGGGCAUUAGUACUCACAUGCUAGAGGUGAAAUUCUUGGAUUUUGUGAAGACUAACUUCUGCGAAAGCAUUUGCCAAGGAUGUUUUCAUUAA